rnacentral:rRNA from 1 species
UACGUAGGGUGCAAGCGUUAAUCGGAAUUACUGGGCGUAAAGCGUGCGCAGGCGGUUAUGUAAGACAGAUGUGAAAUCCCCGGGCUCAACCUGGGAACUGCAUUUGUGACUGCAUAGCGUAGAGUACGGUAGAGGGGGGAUGGAAUUCCGGCGUGUAGCAGUGAAAUGCGUAGAUAUGCGGAGGAACACCGAGUGGCGAAGGCAAUCCCCUGGACCUGUACUGACGCUCAUGCACGAAAGCGUGGGGAGCAAACAGG